GGUUGGUAAGGUAACGGCUUACCAAGGCUAUGAUGUUUAGGGGUCCUGAGAGGGUGGUCCCCCACACUGGUACUGAGACACGGACCAGACUCCUACGGGAGGCAGCAGUGAGGAAUAUUGGUCAAUGGGCGCAAGCCUGAACCAGCCAUCCCGCGUGCAGGAAGACGGCCCUAUGGGUUGUAAACUGCUUUUCCAGGGAGAGAAACUUACGCACGUGUUGCGUGACUGACGGUACCCUGGGAAUAAGCAUCGGCUAACUCCGUGCCAGCAGCCGCGGUAAUACGGAGGAUGCAAGCGUUAUCCGGAUUCAUUGGGUUUAAAGGGUGCGUAGGCGGGCCAUUAAGUCAGUGGUGAAAUCCUGCAGCUUAACUGCAGAACUGCCGUUGAUACUGAUAGUCUUGAGUUUGGUUAAGGUAGGCGGAAUGUGUAAUGUAGCGGUGAAAUGCUUAGAUAUUACACAGAACACCAAUUGCGUAGGCAGCUUACUGAGCCGACACUGACGCUGAGGCACGAAAGCGUGGGGAUCAAACAGGAUUAGAUACCCUGGUAGUCCACGCCGUAAACGAUGAUUACUCGCUGUUGGCGAUACACUGU
rnacentral:rRNA from 1 species